AAACUUUGCAAUGUGCGAAAGCACGACAAGGUUAAUCCGAGUGAUUCCUGCUAAAGGAAUCUUUUGUUAGUCGUAAAACCACUGAUGAAUAAGGGGUGGGCAAGUUCUGGUGUCAGCCGCCGCGGUAAAACCAGCACCUCAAGUGGUCAGGAUGUUUAUUGGGCCUAAAGCAUCCGUAGCCGGCUUUGUAAGUUUUCGGUUAAAUCUAUAUGCUCAACAUAUAGGCUGCCGGGAAUACUGCAAAGCUAGGGAGUGGGAGAGGUAGACGGUACUCCGUAGGAAGGGGUAAAAUCCUUUGAUCUAUAGAAGACCACCAGUGGCGAAGGCGGUCUACCAGAACACGUCCGACGGUGAGGGAUGAAAGCUGGGGGAGCAAACCGG
rnacentral:rRNA from 1 species